rnacentral:rRNA from 1 species
UUUUUUCAUCAGAGUCGAAUUAAGUUCAUCACUGUCCCAACUAUUGCAUAUAAUCGUGCGCCACUUCCUCCAAAGAAGGCAACAAGUAGGUGUAAUCAUGGCUAUUUCAGUGAUCUGCUCAAGAAAAUUCCACCAUCAAGAUUAGAUGUCAUUAAAACUUAUGGUUGCUCUUUUAUUCUUGAUUUUGAGUGCAAUUCUAUACCAAGAGGUUUUGCACAAUGGAUAGCAGGGAAAGUAAAUCCACCUACUGAUGAAAUAGUUCUCGACAACAAAGUGAUUCCAAUGAGCCCUGAAUCAUUUCACCUACUCCUUGGUCUUCCAUUAGGUGGAACCUCAGUUUUAUUUGACAGUGAGGUGACUAAACCAGCUUUCCUCAAUAUUAUUGGUGGACCUUCAUUGCCUUCUAUCAAGUGGUUUGGGUUGAGAAUGGUCAAGCCUGACAUUUCUGAUAUUGAUUUUCUGAUAUGUUUUCUCCUAGUUGCCUUUGCAACUGUUUUUGCCCCAACUCAAAUAUCUACCCCAGCACAAAAUAUCUAG